rnacentral:rRNA from 1 species
UACAGAGGUCUCAAGCGUUGUUCGGAUUCAUUGGGCGUAAAGGGUGCGUAGGCGGCGCGGUAAGUCGGGUGUGAAAUCUUGGAGCUUAACUCCGAAACUGCAUUCGAUACUGCCGUGCUUGAGGACUGGAGAGGAGACUGGAAUUUACGGUGUAGCGGUGAAAUGCGUAGAUAUCGUAAGGAAGACCAGUGGCGAAGGGCGG